rnacentral:rRNA from 1 species
UUUGAAAUCUGGCGUCUUCGGCGUCCGAGUUGUAAUUUGUAGAGGAUGCUAUUGAGUUGUCACCGGUCUAAGUUCCUUGGAACAGGACGUCAUAGAGGGUGAGAAUCCCGUAUGUGACCGGCCAGACGCUCUCUGUAUAGCUCCUUCGACGAGUCGGGUUGUUUGGGAAUGCAGCCCUAAAUGGGAGGUAAAUUUCUUCUAAAGCUAAAUACCGGCCAGAGACCGAUAGCGCACAAGUAGAGUGAUCGAAAGAUGAAAAGCACUUUGGAAAGAGAGUUAAAAAGCACGUGAAAUUGUUGAAAGGGAAGCGCUUGCAAUCAGUCUCGACGGCGGCUGUUCGGCCUCUCUUCUGAGUGGUUUAUUCAGUCGCCGCCGGGCCAGCAUCAGUUCUGGCGGUCGGAUAAAGACGCGGGGAAUGUAGCUCCUCUCGGGGAGUGUUAUAGCCUCGCGUGCAAUACGGCCUGCCGGGACUGAGGUCCGCGCUUCGGCUAGGAUGCUGGCGAAAUGGUUGUAAGCGGCCCGUCUUGAAACACGGACCAAGGAGUCUAACAUCUAUGCGAGUGUUUGGGUGUCAAACCCGUACGCGUAAUGAAAGUGAACGGAGGUGGGAACCGCANGGUGCACCAUCGACCGAUCCUGAUGUCUUCGGAUGGAUUUGAGUAAGAGCAUAGCU